CGAACGAACCUUCGGGUUAGUGGCGGACGGGUGAGUAACGCGUGGGAAUCUGCCCUCAGGAGGGGGAUAACGGUUGGAAACGACCGCUACUACCCCAUAUGCCGAUAGGUGAAAUGAAUUUCGCCUGAGGAUGAGCCCGCGUCUGAUUAGCUAGUUGGUAAGGUAAAGGCUUACCAAGGCUUCGAUCAGUAGCUGGUCUGAGAGGAUGAUCAGCCACACUGGGACUGAGACACGGCCCAGACUCCUACGGGAGACAGCAGUGGGGAAUUUUCCGCAAUGGGCGAAAGCCUGACGGAGCAACGCCGCGUGAGGGACGAAGGCCUCUGGGCUGUAAACCUCUUUUCUCAAGGAAGAAGAUAUGACGGUACUUGAGGAAUAAGCCACGGCUAAUUCCGUGCCAGCAGCCGCGGUAAUACGGGAGUGGCAAGCGUUAUCCGGAAUUAUUGGGCGUAAAGCGUCCGCAGGCGGCCUUUCAAGUCUGCUGUUAAAGCGUGGAGCUUAACUCCAUUAUGGCAGUGGAAACUGAUAGGCUUGAGUAUGGUAGGGGCAGAGGGAAUUCCCGGUGUAGCGGUGAAAUGCGUAGAUAUCGGGAAGAACACCAGUGGCGAAGGCGCUCUGCUGGGCCAUUACUGACGCUCAUGGACGAAAGCCAGGGGAGCGAAAGGGAUUAGAUACCCCUGUAGCCCUGGCCGUAAACGAUGAACACUAGGUGUCGGGGGAAUCGACCCCUUCGGUGUCGUAGCUAACGCGUUAAGUGUUCCGCCUGGGGAGUACGCACGCAAGUGUGAAACUCAAAGGAAUUGACGGGGGCCCGCA
rnacentral:rRNA from 1 species